UACAGAGGGUGCAAGCGUUGUUCGGAAUUAUUGGGCGUAAAGCGCGUGUAGGCGGCUUUGCAAGUCGGGUGUGAAAGCCCUCAGCUCAACUGAGGAAGUGCGCCCGAAACUGCAGAGCUUGAGUGCCGGAGAGGGUGGCGGAAUUCCCCAAGUAGAGGUGAAAUUCGUAGAUAUCGGGAGGAACACCUGUGGCGAAGGCGGCCACCUGGACAGUCACUGACACUGAGACGCGAAAGCGUGGGUAGCAAACAGG
rnacentral:rRNA from 1 species